rnacentral:rRNA from 1 species
UAAUACGUAGGGUGCGAGCGUUAAUCGGAAUUACUGGGCGUAAAGCGUGCGCAGGCGGCGGCUCAAGUCAGGUGUGAAAUCCCCGGGCUUAACCUGGGAAUUGCGCUUGAAACUAGGUUGCUAGAGUGUGGCAGAGGGGGGUGGAAUUCCACGUGUAGCAGUGAAAUGCGUAGAGAUGUGGAGGAACACCGAUGGCGAAGGCAGCCCCCUGGGUCAACACUGACGCUCAUGCACGAAAGCGUGGGGAGCAAACAGGAUUAGAUACCCUGGUAGUCCACGCCCUAAACGAUGUCGACUAGGUGUUGGGGAAGGAGACUUCCUUAGUACCGCAGCUAACGCGUGAAGUCGACCGCCUGGGGAGUACGGUCGCAAGAUU